rnacentral:rRNA from 1 species
AUUGAACGCUGGCGGCAGGCCUAACACAUGCAAGUCGAGCGAGCGGCGGACGGGUGAGUAAUGUCUGGGAAACUGCCUGAUGGAGGGGGAUAACUACUGGAAACGGUAGCUAAUACCGCAUACCAUCAGAUGUGCCCAGAUGGGAUUAGCUAGUAGGUGGGGUAACGGCUCACCUGGGCGACGAUCCCUAGCUGGUCUGAGAGGAUGACCAGCCACACUGGAAGUGGGACACGGUGCAGGCUCUUAGGGGAGGCACGAGUGGGGGUGAUAGCACAAGGGGCGCAAGCCUGAUGCAGACAUGCCGCGUGUGUGAAGAAGGCCUUCGGGGUGUAAAGCACUUUCAGCGGGGAGGCGUUACCCGCAGAAGAAGCACCGGCUAACGCCGUGCCAGCAGCCGCGGUAAUAC